UACGGGAGGCAGCAGUGGGGAAUAUUGCACAAUGGGCGAAAGCCUGAUGCAGCUAUGCCGCGUGUAUGAAGAAGGCCUUAGGGUUGUAAAGUACUUUCAUCGGGGAGGAAAAACAAAACUAAUAAUUUUAUUUCUUGACGUUACCCGAAAAAGAAGCACCGGCUAACUCCGUGCCAGCAGCCGCGGUAAUACGGAGGGUGCUAGCGUUAAUCAGAAUUACUGGGCGUAAAGAGCACGUAGGUGGUUUUUUUAAGUCAGAUGUGAAAUCCCUGGGCUUAACCUAGGAACUGCAUUUUGAAACUGAAAUACUAGAGUAUCGUAGAGGGAGGUAGAAUUCUAGGUGUAGCGGUGAAAUGCGUAGAUAUCUGGAGGAAUACCUGUGGCGAAAGCGGCCUCCUAAACGAAUACUGACACUGAGGGUGCGAAAGCGUGGGGAGCAAACGAGGGAUUAGAUACC
rnacentral:rRNA from 1 species